rnacentral:rRNA from 1 species
GACAGAGGGUGCAAACGUUGUUCGGAAUUACUGGGCGUAAAGCGUGUGUAGGCGGCUUCGUAAGUCGGAUGUGAAAGCCCCGGGCUCAACCCGGGAAGUGCACUCGAUACUGCGAAGCUUGAGUACUGGAGAGGUUGGUGGAAUUCUCGGUGUAGAGGUGAAAUUCGUAGAUAUCGAGAGGAACACCGGUGGCGAAGGCGGCCAACUGGACAGAUACUGACGCUGAGACACGAAAGCGUGGGGAGCAAACAGG